GGCGAACGCUGGCGGCAUGCUUAACACAUGCAAGUCGCACGGGUGGGUUUCGGCCCAUCAGUGGCGGACGGGUGAGUAACGCGUAGGGAUCUGUCUGGGGGUGGGGACGAACCGUGGGAAACGUACGGCUAAUACCGCAUGAAGCCUGAGGGCCGAAAGCUUGCAAGAGCGCCUUUGGAGGAGCCUGCGUCCGAUUAGCUUGUUGGUGGGGUAAAGGCCUACCAAGGCGACGAUCGGUAGCUGGUCUGGAGAGGAU
rnacentral:rRNA from 1 species